rnacentral:rRNA from 1 species
UACGUAGGGAGCAAGCGUUGUUCGGAUUUACUGGGCGUAAAGGGCGCGUAGGCGGCGCUGUAAGUCACUUGUGAAAUCUCUGGGCUUAACUCGGAACGGUCAAGUGAUACUGCAGUGCUAGAGUGCGGAAGGGGCAAUCGGAAUUCUUGGUGUAGCGGUGAAAUGCGUAGAUAUCAGGAGGAAUACCGGUGGUGUAGACGGCUCUCUGGACCGCAACUGACGCUGAAACACGAAAGCGUGGGUAGCAAACAGG